rnacentral:rRNA from 1 species
AUGAGGGUCGGUGGCGGCGCUCUGCUCCGGCGGGCGCCCGUGGUGGAGGCAAGGCAGCGCCUCGUCCACACGACCCCGGAGGAGAUGAGAGAGGUGGCGACCCGCGCGGCGCAAAUCGGCAAGACAAAGGAGCAGCUGUUCGACAUGGUCAUUGACCUCAAUAGCAACUACAACGUUCCCCACAGCAUGAAACGGGAGCACUUGCUGCUGUCACAACGCCUCUCUUCACAAAUCCAGCCUAGACCAUACGACCCAGCCUGGCGUUUCUGCCGACGCACCGAAAGACGCAAUACUUUCUACAAGUUUGUGGGGGUGACUACUUGUGGCCUUGUCGGCUCAGCCGGCCUCUUCUUGCUCCUACACGGACCUCAUCAUCGACCAAAGAAGUGGGUUGUCGACUGGUGGGACAAGCUAACCAGUUAG